rnacentral:lncRNA from 1 species
AAUACAAAAAUUAGCUGGGCACGGUGGCAAGUGCCUGUAAUCGCAGCUACUCUGGAGGCUGAGGAGAUUGCAUCCUACCUGAUCACCUUUGAGAAGCAUGAUGAGUGGCUGUCUUGUGCCCCAAAGACAAGGCCUCAGAAUGGCUCCAUCAUCCUCUACAAUCGCAAGAAGGUGAAAUAUCGGAAGGAUGGUUACCUCUGGAAGAAGCGGAAGGAUGGGAAGACCACCCGAGAGGACCACAUGAAGCUGAAGGUCCAGGGCAUGGAGGGACUGAACAGAGGAAGAGUUGGGGAGCAGACUAGCCCUCCCCCCACCCCAGCCUGUCUCCUGGCAGUGUCUCUAUGGCUGCUACGUUCACUCUUCCAUCGUCCCCACAUUCCAUCGGCGCUGCUACUGGCUGCUCCAGAACCCUGACAUCGUCCUUGUGCACUACCUGAACGUCCCAGCCCUGGAGGACUGUGGAAAGGGCUGCAGCCCCAUCUUUUGUUCCAUCAGCAGCGACCGUCGAGAGUGGCUGAA